AUCCGUUUAAAUAAAUGUGCCCGCGGAAGAGAUGACUUAAGUGAGGCCUUGCUGUGAAAUUCGCAAAUGGAAAUAAAACUGGCCAGCAGAAGUAGAAGUCCCGGACGCAAAAAUCCACUCCAGACAAAAAGAAUUUUAUUGGCCUUCACUUAACGCUCAUAAAUUUGUCUGCCGCAAAAUCUGCGAGACAAGACCAGAACAGAAGACCAGAAGACCAGAAAAAGCAAGAGAACAGAAAUUAAAAGAAUAUUGUUUAUAGUGCUUCCGCAGAGGUCUAGAUGUCUGGAACUGGUUCGGAAACACACAGUUUGCCAUUCUGGAGGCGAGAGACGUUUUGUAAGAGCUAACCAACCAACCCCCCUCCACCGUUUGCCAUUAAAAUAUUGUUGCACAACUCCGAUGCACCGGAUCCCUCCCAUUUCUUGUUGCGGAAAGUGCUCGCGGCUCGCAAUGGAAGUGUGCAUCUGGAUGGACUGCAGCACGUAAGAUGGCCAGCCAGCCAGACGCACAGAUAGUGCACCGUCUAUAAAUAGCCAUCAGCCAACAGCCAACGAGCCACAUGUUGGUCAAGUUUUUCACUCUCGAGAAGAAGACGUCUAAAGUGGUUUCAAAAUUCGGUUAACUACCAAUUUU
rnacentral:lncRNA from 1 species